UGGUGUGUAGCUCAACUGGCAGAGCACCCGGCUGUUAACCGGACGGUUGAAGGUUCGAGUCCUUCCACACCAGC
rnacentral:tRNA from 2 species